AGAUUACCAGGAUUGUUCAGAAUACACAACCUGACCGUCAGACAGUGCUUUUCUCGGCUACGUUUCCUCGCCAGGUAGAAAUAUUGGCAAGGAAAGUACUGAACAAGCCUGUAGAAAUCCAGGUUGGGGGAAGGAGUGUUGUGAACAAAGAUAUUACCCAGUUGGUUGAGCUCAGGCAGGAAAGUGAUAGGUUCCACAGGCUGUUA
rnacentral:misc_RNA from 1 species